ensembl:lncRNA
AUUUAGCAGUGAUAUUGUGCUUCUACUCACCAAAUACUGUUUUGCUGUUGGAUACAGCUCAGCUUGGUUUCUUCCUCUGUUUUCUGAAGAAGCCUGGAGAAAUUUUCUUUUGGGUAUGGGUAUGGGAAAGUUUUCACUUUCUUUAUUUCAGCCCUUUUGAAGUUUCAUGGAAACCUCGACAAUGCACUGUUAUGUGGUUUGGAGCACCUGUCAGCCUCUGCCUAUGAUUCACAGGUGUGGGAAAAUCUGUUUCCAGUGCCUUCGAAUUGCUGAGUCAUAUUCAGACUGGGAAUCCCAGUGAGUGUCUUUGCUCCCAAAUGACAAUGAAGCAAGUGGGCUGGAUGGAGAGGUACAAAGAGAGUCCUGUAAUGGAAGAAGAGACACAGCUGGAACAAUACUAUUUCCAGGAAAAUCCUGAGGAAUCAGCUCAGGAAGGCAUAAAUUAAAAAGAGCCUUAAGGUACUAGCAGGGAAACUUGAAGUUCUGAAGAUGUUGAUCGGUAUACAACUGAUGUACACAGAAAGAGAGCUCCUCUCAGGUGAAUGAGGAUGAAACCAGCAGCCCUGGAGAUUUGCUCCAGUAUAUCCGUGACUAAUACAGCCCAGCCUGCUACUGCCCUUCUUUGCUGCAAGAGCACACUGCUGUCUCAUGUUCAACUUCCUGCAUAACAGGACUAUAAGACAUUUCCCUGCAGAGCUGAUUCCUGCAUAAUUGGCCUACAGCAUUUACUGUCACGUGGUGUUAUUCCUUCCAAGGCUUCUUGCAGGAAUUAAGCAAAGUUUUACAUCCUGGAUCACAGAGGAGUUCAAGGCAUAUGAUCCCUUCUGGCCUUACAAAUCUGUAAAUCUGAAGUCACGCUUGAGGUCUGUGACAGAAUGAGCAUAUCACCCCAGUUCAAAAAUUUAUCCCCAAACCAAUAUUUCUUCACAGGCAAGAUGUGAUGCAUUCUGUUUGCAAGAGGUGAACUGUUUUGACAGAGUAAAAGAAAGUUCCAGAGGUGUCACAAGAAGAGGAGAAGGGCCUUAGCAAAGAAGUGCGCCUACAAAGAGUGCCUACAGCCCAAGUGAAGAGACUUGUGGGAGAAGAAAGCAACUGACACUCCAGUGCCUACAGUAAAGAAAAUAAAUUUUCCAUGGAUUGGAGAAGAUUGUCCAGAAUUUUCUGCUACCCAGGAAGCUACUGAGCUUCUGAAACCAGGUGGAAAUAAGAAUCCAACUGCAAUAACACAGUGGCAAAAGGAAAGUAUGUACAUUUGUUUCUAUUUCAUCUCUAGUCAUCUUCAGCUUUCAUUAUUUGAACAACAGCAACAAUAAAGUAACUAUCUAUUCUG